ACCAGGGGCAACUCUGGUUCAGUGGCGGACGGGUGCGUAACACGUGAGGAACAUGACCUUCGGCGGGGGAUAGCCGGCCCAACGGCCGGGUAAUACCGCGUACGACCUUCCGGGGACAUCCCUGGAUGGUGAAAGCAGCAAUGCGCCGAUGGAGUGCCUCGCGGCCUAUCAGCUAGUUGGUGAGGUAACGGCUCACCAAGGCGACGACGGGUAGCUGGUCUGAGAGGAUGGCCAGCCACAUUGGGACUGAGACACGGCCCAGACUCCUACGGGAGGCAGCAGUGGGGAAUAUUGCGCAAUGGACGAAAGUCUGACGCAGCGACGCCGCGUGUGGGAUGACGGUCUUCGGA
rnacentral:rRNA from 1 species